GAAGAAUGAAAGAAAAAUAAAUUACGUAUCUGAUGAUGCUACUUCCAAAUCAUUAAGGAUCAAUCACUGAACUGGCACUCCAGGACAGACAGAAUAAAGGAAGAUAAUUAUCUGGAGAAAAUAAGAGGACUCCAAAGAGAGAAACUAUUCAAAUAUCUCUGCAUAGUAUCAUAACAUCAGUGCAGAACAUUACUGAGAAAAUUCCUUGCGCUGGCCAAGACCCAUUUCAGCAUGACAAGCAAUAAACUGUAUAAUAUUUGAGUUCUAACCUUCUGUAAAAGGCCCCCUCUAAUUACCUAGAUAUGUCAGUGGUAAGUCUUGCUACUCAGAAUAAAUCUGACAUCAACAGA